UCCGGUCAUAUCACGUUGUAACACUAAUUCUCGUGCGAUCACCGAAGUUAAGCAACGUCAAGCCUGCUCCGUACCUAGAUGGGUAACUGCUUGCGAAUACCAGGUGCUGUAAG